rnacentral:tRNA from 1 species
AAGAAGAUUAAUUGAGGCUGCUAACUUUGAUUUGGGGAAAUAUUCUCCGCUUCUUU